GUCCUGGCCCUAACGAUGAAUACUUGGUGUCUGGAGUUUAAUGCUCCGGGUGCCGUCGCUAACGUUUAGUAUUCCGCCUGGGAGUACGCUCGCAAGAGUGAAACUCAAAGGAAUUGACGGGACCCGCACAAGCGGUGGAGCAUGUGGUUUAAUUCGACGCAACGCGAAGAACCUUACCUGGACUAGAAUGUGAGGGAAUAUCGGGUAAUGCCGAUAGUCCGGGAAACCGGACCCAAACAAGGUGCUGCAUGGCUGUCGU
rnacentral:rRNA from 1 species